rnacentral:rRNA from 1 species
GACGAACGCUGGCGGCGUGCUUAACACAUGCAAGUCGAACGAGAAUCUACGGAUCGAGGAUUCGUCCAAGUGAAGUAGAGGACAGUGGCGGACGGGUGAGUAACGCGUGAGGAACCUGCCUUUCAGAGGGGGACAACAGUUGGAAACGACUGCUAAUACCGCAUGACACAUUGGGGUCGCAUGGCUCUGAUGUCAAAGAUUUAUCGCUGAAAGAUGGCCUCGCGUCUGAUUAGCUAGUUGGUGAGGUAACGGCCCACCAAGGCGACGAUCAGUAGCCGGACUGAGAGGUUGACCGGCCACAUUGGGACUGAGAUACGGCCCAGACUCCUACGGGAGGCAGCAGUGGGGAAUAUUGGGCAAUGGGCGCAAGCCUGACCCAGCGACGCCGCGUGAAGGAAGAAGGCUUUCGGGUUGUAAACUUCUUUUGUCAGGGACGAGUAGAAGACGGUACCUGACGAAUAAGCCACGGCUAACUACGUGCCAGCCGCCGCCGUAA